UCACCUGCCACUGCCCGUGAAACAGUCAGCAAUGUGGGGUGCCAGCACGUCAGAGUAAUACGAUUCUACUUUGCAGAGCUUUGAAGAAAGGUCUUGCAGAAGUUCAAGAAUUU
rnacentral:lncRNA from 1 species